rnacentral:tRNA from 1 species
GGCAGCAUAGCUUAACCUGGUAUAGCGCCACGCUCAUAACGUGGAGGUCCCGAGUUCAAAGCAAGCAAUCUAUGCUAAGUUGGGCGGGUUAAAACCUACCAAGAAAAAUUGAUUGGUGUGUGAAAGUCUCGGUGCUGCCA